rnacentral:lncRNA from 1 species
CUUUCCAAACUUCACAAGCAGGGGAGGGAGCUGUAGCAGACUUUCACCUCCGUUCCCAAAAGCGAAUGUGAAAAAGUCCGAGAAGGCACGUCCUGCGAGUGGAGGUUAAACCGAAAUCUGAACAGAAUGCACGGUCCCCGCAAACUACGAUUGAUAAAGAAGAUACUGAGACGUUUGCGGGGGAUAUAAGCCAUGGUUGUCUCGCCUUCCUCCCCUCCCUGCCAACUAUGUUUCUUGGAGAAAUCGCCGGUUCGAUUCACGCACACAUUUUUGUAAAACACGGACAAAACCAUAAGUAGUUACCUUCAUUGUUCCGUCGGCCACGAGGGAAGCUCGAGCUGAGCGGAGGGCAGAUCCCAAGGGUCGUAGCCCCUGGCCGUGUGGACCGGGUCUGCGGCUGCAGAGCGCGGUCCCGGCUGCAGCAAGACCUGGGGCAGUGCCCGAGGCGGCGGCGAGUACACGUGGCGGGCUGGAUUGCAGACCGGCCCUCUCGCGGCGGAGACUCGCGACCUAGCGGAUUGCAUCAGCAGGAAGACACUAAGGCUGCUCCCCCAGGCCGCCCCCAGAUGGUGGAGUCUCUCCCAGCCCGAAGAUUCGGAGCCAGCGCCCAG